UGAAAAAUUACAACAACAGGCUUUUUUAUUUUUCAUCACACUUCACAUCAGAACCUUUUGUCUCCCUGGGGCAAAAACUCUGUGUUAUGAAAAGAGCAAAUGAAGACCUUCAACCUGAGCCUAGUGUACAGCACAGUAAUACACUCCACUGUCUGAAGGCUCCAGCUUCUCCACCGUCAAAGAUCCGGUCUCAGCUUUGUCCUUCUUGGCAGGAAAUUUGUCCUCACUGAAGCCGGUCCAGUACUGAUGUGGUGGCAUUAAGGUGGUGAGAACUAUCUGCUGCAUCAUCUCCCCGGGCCGCAGUCUGAACCAGUACAUCUGGAAAUAAUUUGAACCUUUCGUGUGACUGCAGUUGAGUGUGGCAGAUUGACCCUCUGCCGCCCACGACAGAGGGUCCUGGUCCACAUCACUUCCAUGGACUCCACCUGUGGAAGUUGGAAGAUGACUGAAGCCAAUUAUGAAGAGCAUGAACAUCAUGUUGAAGACGAUCCACCAUGAGCUUUCUGUUGAAGAGUCGUCAAUACUGAUGGUGAGCAUGAGAGCUCGUCACUGUCACGGCAGAAAGAAGAGGGCGGUGUCAGUGAUCAAUGUCACAGCUCACUCUGCAGAAAAGAGCAUGGUAUGAGUGUCUCAUUUGUUGAAGUAUGUCGUCCCCCCCUAGUGGUGGGAAACACACAGUUGGUGCAUUCAGUGAAUAAUGGCUGUCUGAGGCUACCCAGAGAUUUUAAAGUUUUAUUGCAUCAAGAAUUUACAAAUUAUGAGUGAUGAAGUGUUAGAUUUUUGUUCUACUCUUAGAGCCCCCUCCACACCAUAAGACCUGAGUCUCCUGAGCAGAAAGAGUCUGCUUUGUCCCUUCUUGUACAGCGCAUUUGAGUUGUCUGACCAGUCCAGUUUAUUGUUCAGGUGAACACCCAUUCACAAUCUCAAUGUCCUAAUACAGUAUUGAUUACAUUUAAUUUUAUACACAACAAAAACUAUCCACACAGUUGAAACUACCAAACUGUUUUUCCAGAAAUAAA